rnacentral:rRNA from 1 species
GAUGAACGCUAGCUACAGGCUUAACACAUGCAAGUCGAGGGGUAACGAGAGGAAAGCUUGCUUUCCUUGUCGACGACCGGCGCACGGGUGAGUAACGCGUAUCCAACCUGCCCCCAACUAGGGAAUAACCUUGCGAAAGUAAGACUAAUACCCUAUAAUUUCCUCAGAUGACAUCUGACGAGGAAUAAAGAUUUAUCGGUUGAGGAUGGGUAUGCGUCUGAUUAGCUUGUUGGCGGGGUAACGGCCCACCAAGGCAACGAUCAGUAGGGGUUCUGAGAGGAAGGUCCCCCACAUUGGAACUGAGACACGGUCCAAACUCCUACGGGAGGCAGCAGUGAGGAAUAUUGGUCAAUGGGCGAAAGCCUGAACCAGCCAAGUAGCGUGCAGGAUGACGGCCCUAUGGGUUGUAAACUGCUUUUAUACAGGAAUAAAGUUAGCCACGUGUGGUUAUUUGUAGGUACUGUAUGAAUAGGGACCGGCUAAUUCCGUGCCAGCAGCCGCCGUAA